AGUGAACGCUGGCGGUAGGCCUAACACAUGCAAGUCGAACGGCAGCACAGUAAGAGCUUGCUCUUACGGGUGGCGAGUGGCGGACGGGUGAGGAAUACAUCGGAAUCUACUUUUUCGUGGGGGAUAACGUAGGGAAACUUACGCUAAUACCGCAUACGACCUACGGGUGAAAGCAGGGGAUCUUCGGACCUUGCGCGAUUGAAUGAGCCGAUGUCGGAUUAGCUAGUUGGCGGGGUAAAGGCCCACCAAGGCGACGAUCCGUAGCUGGUCUGAGAGGAUGAUCAGCCACACUGGAACGGAGACACGGUCCGGACUCCUACGGGAGGCAGCAGUGGGGAAUAUUGGACAAUGGGCGCAAGCCUGAUCCAGCCAUACCGCGUGGGUGAAGAAGGCCUUCGGGUUGUAAAGCCCUUUUGUUGGGGAAGAAAAGCAGCAGGUUAAUACCCCGCUGUUCUGACGGUACCCAAAGAAUAAGCACCGGCUAACUUCGUG
rnacentral:rRNA from 1 species